rnacentral:rRNA from 1 species
GACGAACGCUGGCGGCGUGCUUAACACAUGCAAGUCGAACGGUAAAGCUCCUCUUUGGUGGGGUGCAUGAGUGGCGAACGGGUGAGUAACACGUGGGUGACCUGCCCCGCUCUUUGGGAUAAGCCUGGGAAACUGGGUCUAAUACUGGAUAUGACCUGACCUUGAGGGUGUGGUGGAAAAUUUUUUCUUUGUGGGAUGGGCCUGAUGCCUCUGCCUUGUUGGUGGGGUUGGUAAGGCCACGGCUUACCCUUCAACGAUGGGGAGGGGACUACGACCACGUUGCCCCUGAUGGUGGCCCAAACUCCAACAGACUCCUGCAGGGGGGAAUAUUGAACAAUGGGCGGAAGCCUGAUGCAGCCUCACCCCGCGGGGGAUGACGAACUUCGACGUUGUCUACUCCUUUCACCAUUCUCUAAUGGUUUAAGACUGGCAAUGGAGAAUAAGUGACAUGUAUGUACUCGACGACUACCUAUCGGCUACCUCCGUGCCGAGCGUCGCCCUAAUACACAGGAUAUAACGUUAUCCAGAAUUAUUGUCUUGUCAGCGGGCAUAUUUGGCGUCUUAACUCCGGGCUGAAAAGCUAUACCUCAACAGUAUUCUUGCCGUUGAAACUAAUGUGCUUCCGAGGUGUCCAGGUAUGUGCACAGAUUUCUGGACAACACAUGCGUAGAUGCGCGCCCAUUGCCGAUACUGACGCUGAGUACCCAGCUCCCUCUGACCUACAAGCACUAAUCCCCGGGUACAUCAAAGGAGUAAAUCCCCCAUUGCAUUAUCAACUGUAAUUCUACCUUUUAUGUCUGGGGAUAAAAAAAGAAACAACUUAUAAGUCCCAUUAAUGUAGCCUUGUUUUAUUUCCCGGGGGGUUGGU